UACGUAGGGGGGCAAGCGUUUGUCCGGAAUUAUUGGGCGUAAAGCGCGCGCAGGCGGCUGUUUUAAGUCUGGUGUUUAAACCUAGGGCUCAACCUUGGGUCGCACUGGAAACUGGGCAGCUUGAGUGCAGAAGAGGAAAGUGGAAUUCCACGUGUAGCGGUGAAAUGCGUAGAGAUGUGGAGGAACACCAGUGGCGAAGGCGACUUUCUGGGCUGUAACUGACGCUGAGGCGCGAAAAGCGUGGGGGAGCAAACAGG
rnacentral:rRNA from 1 species